rnacentral:rRNA from 1 species
GACGAACGCUGGCGGCGUGCUUAACACAUGCAAGUCGAGGGGGCGUUGGGGGCAACCCUGACGUCACCGGCGAACGGGUGCGUAACACGUGAGCGACCUACCCCUUUGCGGGGGAUAGCCGGCCCAACGGCCGGGUAAUACCGCAUACGCUCGCUUUGGGGCAUUCUGAGGCGAGGAAACUUUCGAGGCGGAGGGAGGGGCUCGCGGCCUAUCAGCUAGUUGGCGGGGUAACGGCCCACCAAGGCGGUGACGGGUAGCUGGUCUGAGAGGAUGGCCAGCCACAUUGGGACUGAGAGACGGCCCAGACUCCUACGGGAGGCAGCAGUGGGGAAUCUUGCGCAAUGGCCGAAAGGCUGACGCAGCGACGCCGCGGU